rnacentral:rRNA from 2 species
GUGCGAGACCGAUAGCGAACAAGUACCGUGAGGAAAAGAUGAAAAGAACUUUGAAAAGAGAGUUAAAGAGUACCUGAAACUGCUGAAAGGGAAGCGAAUCGUAUCCAGUGUCUAUAAUCUGCGGCAUAUUUCAUUGGCGGCGGUGCGCGUGCUUUUGCGUCGGAAGCGGCUUUUGUUGCUCUGUGCUUUUGCUGUGCGUGGUGUUGCUGGUGCCCUGUGUUGCGGUGGGACGUCAGAGUCAGUUUGUAUGCUGCGGGAAAUGGCUGCCGAGGAGGUAGGUCGAGAUUUCGGUCUUGGCUGUUAUAUCUUGGUGGUUUGUUGUCGUGGUUGAGACUGAGGUGCCUACAAUGUGCUUUUGAGUGCGCCGGGUUCUCAUUUGGUGGACUGUUUGGAUAGCUUGCUACGCUUGUGGUUUUUUCAUCGGGUGAUUGAGUCUGGUGGUAACUUGUUGCUGUUCGGGACUUUGA